GAUGAACGCUGGCGGCGUGCCUAAUACAUGCAAGUCGAGCGAACAGACGAGGAGCUUGCUCCUCUGACGUUAGCGGCGGACGGGUGAGUAACACGUGGAUAACCUACCUAUAAGACUGGGAUAACUUCGGGAAACCGGAGCUAAUACCGGAUAAUAUAUUGAACAGCAUGGUUCAAUAGUGAAAGACGGUUUUGCUGUCACUUAUAGAUGGAUCCGCGCCGCAUUAGCUAGUUGGUAAGGUAACGGCUUACCAAGGCAACGAUGCGUAGCCGACCUGAACGGGUGAUCGGCCAGACUGGAACUGAGACACGGUCCAGACUCCUACGGGAGGCAGCAGUAGGGAAUCUUCCGCAAUGGGCGAAAGCCUGACGGAGCAACGCCGCGUGAGUGAUGAAGGUCUUCGGAUCGUAAAACUCUGUUAUUAGGGAAGAACAAAUGUGUAAGUAACUAUGCACGUCUUGACGGUACCUAAUCAGAAAGCCACGGCUAACUCCGUG
rnacentral:rRNA from 1 species